UCAUGUGUGGAAAGACUGGCAGGUUCCUCUCGGGGCCUUGAAAGGGCUUAUGCAACUGAGAGGCCCUGAAGCUUCACUUUCCUUUGCUCUGUGGUGAAUCCACCCUUCUCCACAGCCCGUGCAGCCCCCGCACUCCUCAAGGUCCCCUUUGAAGGCUCUCCUCUGGCCCUCAGACUGGGAGUUCAACUGGGACAGUGAACUGCCAGCCAGGAGGGUGGUGGUGAAUCUGCAGGAGAUUUCCUGGUGGCUGGGGCAGAGUGCUGGGACACUCUCAGGAGGAGUGGGGAAGGGGGCUGCCAAGUGGGGCAAGCGGAUGGCCAGGGUCUCUGCCCUGUGGGAUGGAGAAGGGACUGCACGUGGGCCGGCAUUCAUCAUUCGUUGCCUAGAAGAACUUCAGAGCUGGGAGGAGUCUUAAGGCCUCAUGCAGCCCAACCCCCUCCCUUCUAGAUCCACAUUAGUCCAACUCCCCAGAUUCCCAUGUCUGCUAUCCCUAAGCCAGCCCACAGGCCCGCCCCAGAGGAGCACCCCAUUGGCCCUGUUUGCCGGCUGAGCUCAAAGCCCACCUCACUUUGGCCUUGACCUCUGAGGGGCUCUCCAUCAGUGACAGGCAACGACAGAUGAAUGGCUCGGCUAUGAAAUGAAACCAGGGAAGAGAAGGAAGCUGCACCACAGGAAGGCUUCUCAGUGCCUCUGCCACAGUGCAAGUGCCCAGGGAGAAGCGGAGAAGCAGGAGGAGAUCCCAGGAAAGCAGCAGACCCGAAGGGCAGGCCAGGGCACAGCAGUUACAGGAAGACCCAUAGAAACAGAACGUGGGACCCUUGGAGAGCCGGGCCCAAGCUGGCAACCAAAAGACUGUUGCUUUCCAAACUCCCUCGGAAAGUUUGAAAAAUAUGCGUGGAAAUGUGACUCACUGCCCCCUCUCCAUAGCCCUCACUUCCUGGUUUCUGUGAUUUUUCUCCCAAGAGUUAAUUCGAGUCACAUUCCCACAGAAACCAAAGCCUAAUGAGAGCGCAAAGAGCGGGCUGCAGGAGGCCUGGGGUGCCCGGGAGGGGCUGGGAAUGGAGAUGAGCUCUGGGCGGGCCCCAGGCAGACGGGCGGAGGCGAUCUGUCCACUGCGGACACCUCGGGUGGGGGAAAAUUCAACUCUCUCAAGGUCGGAGAUGGAAGGGUUCAUUCACACCACCUAAACCAAACCAUCUUGAAGACCCAGUUUUAGGACAAGAAUGAGCCCUUGGUUGCUCACAGGCUCCUAACCAGAGGUGACAGAACCAGGACUGACACCUAGGUGCCCUGCCUGGGUGUCUGCGGUAUGUCCACUGCACCUUGCUGCCCUCUGUACCCCAGGCCCAGAAAGCAUGCUUCUGGCCUCUUUCUCAGAAUCCAUUCCUGGGGCCACAACUGGGGCUAGAAGUCCAGGAAGUGGGGAGUGGGGAACACCCCUGAAUUCACUCACCUCCACUCCAGUCCCACCCCCAUGUAUCACGGAGCAGGCGCACAGGCACGUCCCUGGCUUUGGGCUGGGGCGGACCAAGGCCAGCCUGCCCCAACAGGGUGUUUCUGAGCCAAGAAUUCCCAGCCUGUCCCAGAGAGGCCAGGGAAGGCAAGGGCCUGACAAUGGGCCAAGGGUGAGUGGCCUUCCAUUCUUGAGAAUUCUUAGAAGAGGACACCAAGUAUUCCCAGGCCAGGAGUGAUUCCUAAGCGUCCAUAACGUGUCAUCGCUCCUUGGAUAUCUCAGAUGGAGUUCGUGUGUCCCAACACCCAUCCCACUCUGUUGCUCCUUCCUCAGCCUCUCCUCCCUCAACUCCCUUGGCCAAUGAGCCCCCAAGUCCUUGUGGUUCCUACUCCCAGAAUUGUUCUCGGUUCUGUGUACUACCUUCAGCCGUCUGGUCUGCUUACCAUCAACCCCCACCUGGGUAACUGCCUCCAGUCUCUGCCUCCACCCUAGCCUCUGCUCCCAUCCUGUCUCCUCCAUAAACCACAGUCUGCCCUCCCCUUCCCCUCCCCCCUCCCUCCCCCCCUCCUUCCUUCCUUCCUUACUUCCUUCCUUCCUUCCUUCCUGAGACAGGAUCUUGUUCUGUCAUCCAGCAGGCUGGAGUGCAUUGGUACAAUCAUAGCUCACUGCACCCUCAAACUCCUGGGCUCAAGUGAUCCUCCUGCCUCAGCCUCCCGAGUAGCUAGGACCAGGUUCAUGCCACCGCAUCUAACUAAUUUUUUUUUUUUUUUGGUAGAGAUGGGGGUCUCAUUUUGUUGCCCAGACCUCCCACCUUGACCUAAAGUGCUGGGAUUACAGGCGAGAGCCACCACGCCCAGCCCACAGUGAUCUUUUCAAAAUAAAAGCCUCAUUGUGUUUCCAUAAAAUGUUGAACUAACAGUGGCUCCCCGCUGUAUUUAGGAUAAAGUCCAAAUUCCUUGACCUGACUUGUAAAGCCCUCCGUGACCUGGGCUCUGCUUGCAUCUCCAGCCUUAUCUAAAUUCCAGCAAUCUCAACCUCUCUCAUCACUUCCUGACCAACCCUCCCAGACACCACACAUAGUAUACCUUCUUAUCAACUCCUACUCAUCCUCCAGGCUCAGCUGGAAGUGCCACUAAGUCUGGAUUAAGUGUCCCCACUCACCAAUACCCUUGUCACACCGUCUGUGACACUGUGUAUGUGUGUGUUCCCCUGUUAGAGGACUCCCCGAGGGUAGAGGCUGGGUGGACCUGGUGCUCUCCGGUACUCCCAGCACCUGGCACAGUGCCUGGUGCACAGAAGGUUCUCAAUACAUGUGUGAGUAGAGCAUUCUCAUCGUAGCCUCUUACCAACCAGCACCCUCAACACGCUCUACUUCCUCUACUCUUUCCACACACCCUACUCUGCAGCGCCUCAUUCUAGGCUCCCCUUCUUCCGGAGGGCCCCACCUUCCCUGCCUCCCUUCAGCUGAGCUCCCUCUGUGCAUUGCAGCCAGGCCGCUAUCCAACCUGGCCUCAGGCACAGUCACGAUAACCAUAGUAAGGAGGGCUGCUGUUUACAGAGCACUCACCAUGUGUCAGGACCUGUUCUAGGCUCCUUCCAUUCUUUGGCUCAUUUCAUAACCAGCAGGAGCUAACAAAGGGGGUUGGCCCUAUGACCUAACUUGUCUGAUGGUUCUGGGCAGGUCCCUCCAGGAGACUGUGUAACUCCAUCGUCACCAUGUGUAAAGGAGACGGGGUAUGCGCUAGGCCUCAAUAAAAGUUUAUCAAGGGAAGGAACACUAUAA